rnacentral:rRNA from 1 species
CUUUAGAUACCCUAGAGGCGUAGAAGCUUCUGAUGGUGGGUCUGUUCGCCCUUUAAAAUCUAACAUGAGCUGAGUUCAGAACGGCGUGAGCUAGUUCAGUUUCUAUCCUCUUUUUAAAACGAGCUAAUUUUGUACGAAAGGACUUUUUCGCUAAAGCAAUGCUUUGUCUCAAAUCUGUGGUUGCAUAAAUAAUACUGCAUAAUAGGCUGACUAGCCUAUAGGAAGGGGUG